CCCUAUGGGUGCAGCAGGCGGUUUGGUAAGUCAGAUGUGAAAGCCCACGGCUUAACCGUGGAAGUGCAUUUGAAACUGCCAGACUUGAGUAUCAGAGGGGAAAGUGGAAUUCCCGGUGUAGAGGUGAAAUUCGUAGAUAUCGGGAGGAAUACCGGUGGCGAAGGCGACUUUCUGGCUGAAUAUUGACGCUGAGGCGCGAAAGCGUGGGGAGCAAACA
rnacentral:rRNA from 1 species